CCCUUCCCUUCCCUUCCCUUCCCUUCCCUUCCCUCUCUUUUUUUUCUUUUUCUCAGAAGUUCGGCAGUAGUUCCUAUAAUAAAUAGGCGCCUGAGAAGCAUGAGAGUAAAGCUGCUAUUUAAUCUGGAACCAGCUCUGUUUACCUCUUGGAGAAUAAUGUCAGCUCUUGGCAAAGGCACCCAUGUUACUAGAAUUGUUCAGCUGACCUCACCGUUUCUAGGAUAUGAAAUGCUGAAUAAUAGGAUAAGAGAAGCAAGAGAUAGAAGAUAUCUACAGAGUUCUCUUCAUUUUCCUGCAAAUGAAGGCUGUGGCUUUACACUCUUGGCCUCUGAAAAAUAUACAUAAUUUGCUGGACAGUUGUAAUUGGUUUCUGUGAAGCAGAAAAGCUGUUGAUGCUUCAUUCAGUUCUACAUUUGUUUGAAGGAAGACCUCCAAGCAGCAAAAGAAUUCAUCUGAAUUUUUACACCAGUAAAUGACUGUUAAACGUGAUGUAUUCUUAGUCACUAUGUAUAUGUGUAUCUAGUGCUAGGCAAUAAAAGAUAAGCCAACAGACAUGCAAGCAUUAUCAUAUGAUAUUAGCAAAAUUACUCUCGCAGCAAGAAGAAUCAGUGUGUUAAGCAACUUUAUCCUGGAAUUUGGGCAUCUUUACUCUUCCAUUCAAAAAUCUGCUAAGUCUUCUUCUAAGGAUUCUGAGUGUUUGUCACUAGCAUUAGGCCCUCUCUAUCCAUAUGGUCUUUAGAAAAUGAAGCUUUGAAUAUUUGUUUCAGAUUCUAGCUGCUCCACAUUGCGUUCUGAAAAGUGUCCUCAGACUCAUUAAAUCUACAGGGCUUGGAAGCUCUCCUUGUGGUUACGGCACGAACAAUAUUGCAUGUGAGACCAGAGUACUCUAACUCUUUGGCAUGAGGUGCAGUGCAUGCAACAGCUUAGCAGCAGUCCCAGAAACAUCUCUUAACACGUCUCCUGUUUUUCAGCUUCUGACAAAAAGGUGUUUUUUUUAAAAGUUAGAAGUUAAACAGAUGUCCUUGGAGAGACUGAAGAUGAAAAUAUUUCUCGAGCAAUUUCACACAGAGAAUGGAGGCUUUUGGUAGGUUUCUACAGGUAGUGAGGAACAGAGCUGCCUUGCGGUUUUCUGAAUUUGUGGGUAAAACAUGAUAUAGUACUUGAUGCUGAAUGCUUAGACACAUAGAGGAUAAAGUCCUAUAGCACUAAAUUUCCCAAGGCCAAGAGGAGACAGUGCUUGUACAAAUGUGCAUAAGCCAGCUGGGCUGCUGCACUACUUCAGUUGCUUUUGACUCCAAGUGGAGAUCCAGAGGCUCUUUGAAAUCCAUGAUUUUGAACCUUUUUUCAGAGAAGUUGUGAGUGCCAGUAAAUAAAUAGCAGAUAAAGUAGAGACAACUUCUGCGCCACUGUUGAUGGUUGGCAGGGAAAAGCAGAAAGAAAUAUUAAGUAGGAAAUUAUUAGUUGGUGAAGGAAAGGGGAAAAAAGGGAAUCUUUUCAUUCCUUAAGCUGCUCGUUUCUUGAAUUUAACACAGCUAACCUGAAAUGUUCUUUUUUUUUUUUUUUUAAACUCUGCCUCUCAUUUGCCUUUGCAUUACUUUCAUCUUGAGUGUGAAAUUCCAAGUUACUGUGAAAAAGCUGCCCUAGGAAUAUUCUUGGCAAUACUGCAAGCAGAAAGUACAGGAAACCUCACAAAAGAGUUUGUUCCAGCAACGCUGCCAUCCACGUUUCACAGCUGCAAGGACGUUGAAAGUAGCAUAGAAGAGAUUCAGAUUCCACUAAUGGAAAGUUUUGGAAAAGAAUUGAUUGAGAGACAUUGCCACAGCUUGCUCAAAAAUGAGACAGAGCAUUUUCAUUACUCCUGAAGGCUUUUAUUCUAGACAUACAAAAGUACCCCAUUAGUCAGUCAAUUUACUGUGGACUAAUUCUCUAUCAUUUGGUUGAUUCCCACCGUGAGCACAUUGAUCACAUUUAAUACUUUGUAAGCUGAGAUUGAGAAGGUGAAAGCAGCAAUACAACCAGAGUCCCAUUUCCAUAUUUUGAAGUAAAGAAUCAAUCUUGCAUCAUGGAUGAAUUUAUUUCCUUACAGACAGUGGUGGGUUUUCCACCCUGUGCACUGCCAACUUUCUUCAAGACUGAUGUCACCUGCACCUAAUGACAAUGAGAGUACAUCUAGCUAUAAACAGCUCUCUGAAUAACCUGCUGACUGUUUUUCCUGUGGAUGACAAACCAAGUUCUCUUGAUGGAGUGAUGCUGAGGUCGCCCCUGCUUUUAUUCCACUCGGUGAAGAACCAUUACAUAAGGGUUACUUCAGUCGCUGUCAGCAUAGACUGUAUUUGGACAAGUGUAACAGAAAGGCCUGCCCUCCUUCCCUUGCUCUGUAAGCCAUCCAGUUGCUCAUCCACCCUUAUUCUGAAUAACGAUGAUUAGCAAAAUAAUUACUGAAAUUGUUGGUUUUGCCCCACAACGGAAAAUGCUCCCAUUUGGUCAGAUGUCUUGCUGUGAAACUUCUGUCUGUGUUGCAAGCAAGGGAAUGCUGCAGGGCUGGGCUGCUGAAAACACUUGCCCUGAAGUGACAAAGUGGAAGCAAUAGGCAUCACUCGGCACAAGAGGUCCAAGGUAUGGCAGGAGAGAAGGAAGGAAGUAAAACUAAAGGACUGAUGGGAUCAUCUUUAAUUUGCUUUGUAAACAGAGAACAGGAAAGAUCAUUACAGUAGCCUUUUGUACCAUGUAAGCAGGGAGAACAAAUAUCACGUUACAUACAACUGAUACGUAGUGGUCACAUUGCCAGCUGCGCCCGUAUCGAGAUCACUACAACAGUAGCUAUUCUGUGGAGCUGGAGAUAACACAGCAAGGAAAUGUUGGGAACUGCUGGCACUCCUGCAAAUAAGUAUAACAAAACCAAAAGGAAAGAAAAGGAGUUUCUUGUGCUACUGAUUUACAUUUUGCAAAGUAACUCUAUUGGAAAAGGAAGUCAAAACUUCCCUUAUUCAAAUAGUUUUGUUCCAGUGAACUAUCCUUAAUUCAAGGAAUCCCUUUCACUUGACAUUAUUCUUUGGGCAGUAAGUACGUGUGUAUUUGUUGCUCUGAAUAUUCUGAAGUGUGCUGCAUGCAGUGUGCACAGAGGUAAGAAAUAGCAUUCUGACAAAGUUAGAUUAGUCUGAAGGCCAGCUGCUUGGAAGUUGCACAUACCAUUGCUCUUAUUCACUUUUCUCUUACUGUUAGCACUCCCUGCUGAUUAGGUCACUAUACCAGUUACUCCAUUCCUCCUCCGCUUGCUUUUAAAACCUUAUAACUGUGUUUUUCUCAAAAGUCUCCCUUCCCAGUCAACACUGUCUCAACACUAGCCUAUGCACUGAUUCAAGAUCCUCCCCUUUUCUGACCACAACUUUUCUCCCCUCUUCUGUUCUGCCUGCCCAAACUAGUGCCAUGAAAAUAUUUUCCAUUUCUCACCUCUCUGAGAAUGUUGCCCUGCUUCUCAGCAUUGACCUAUUUCCACCCUAAAACUCAAAUGUGUUUCUUUUCUCGGCUCUGAAUAACUUCAUUGCUACUUGGAUCUGACCUCAUCUCCUCUCGGAAAGCCAGUCAGUCUCUGAUGUUGGGAGUGUCUGUGUGGGGGGACCAGGGUGCAUUGUAAUUGAUUUCCUUCUUUAACUUUUUCCAUCAGCAGAGUGCUUUGAAACUAAAUGUACUGCAGAUGAAAUUACUCCAGUCACCUCCUUGGUUUGUUUUGGAAGUGCUUGCAUGUAUUUAUAAAACAAUCACCAAAAAACAUUAAGAUUCAGCCCUACAUAAAUGACUAUAUACGAUUUCCACUGAACGAAAAGAAGUGCCUUGAACUUUACUGUGUGUCUUUGAAUCUCCUCUGUCCCUGGUUAGACCAGCCAAGGAGUUACCCUCUGCUGUCAUUAAUGGCAGUGAUACCAACAGGCAUUUACUUGGGUAACUUAAUGACUGAAGCACAUCAUCUCUUUGCUGUUCCUUUUCACUCUUUUCCUGUUCUAGAUCUUACUGAGAUGCAAUACUGGAUUCAUAAGACCAACACAUAUCACAGCAAGUCUGCAGCAUUUCGAAGUUGCCUGCAAUUUCCAGUGCCUGUUUAACACAGUCUGUUUAAAGCAUGGGGAGCACAACAGAGUAGAGAAUGCAGAUCCCUGUGUUUUGUACUGGAAUUGUAUACCUGUGAGCUUUUAUGGAAUAUGUCAACAGACUGCAGUUAAUUCAUAAUUGUGGUGAUACUGAGGUUGUCAUAUUCCACUCUUCCAGAUGCAUAUAUUUAUCUUGAAUUUAUAUCACAAGAUAACACAACAAUCAGACCUCUCACCACACCAGAAAAAAAUGCGUAUAUUCCUCAGAUUCUAUCACAACCUAACCAAAAGUAACACCCCCCCUGGAAAUUCUGGAGGCAGUUAUAUUUUUCCUUCUUGAGUCCCGCCGACGUGCAGUCAAUGACCCUCAAGGCUGGUGCUGAAAUUUCCAGAAACAUUUGGAAAGCAACCACAGAAAUAAAUCCAACAAACCGAACCCUUGAAGAGCAGUAACAGAAGCUACAGAAGCACAGUGGAGCCAGCACCCACUCAUCAUCACGGCUUUUCUCCACUCUCACAGCUUCCACCACACAUGCCACCUCCAGCACAACACCUCCAAAACUGCUGGCCUCUCUGCUCACACUUUGACCUUCUGCAGCUCUGCUAGGUUAAGUUGCGAUGAACCUGAAGCAGUGGGUGUGUCACUGAAAUGAUUGAUAUACUUGUAUUUGUCAUAACUAUCUUCCCUGAAGUGAUUUCAUUGCUUGAAUGAGUGACCUGAGCACUGUCAGCUGUAGCCUUAUAUGGACAAUCUAUAGCCUUAUUCAAACAAGACUUUAUCAGACAUUUUCCAAAAUUAACUGGAGUUUCUGGGGUCUGAUUGGAUUCAUUUUGUUGUUUCUUUUCCUUUAACUUUUCGUGGAGGUGCUCUGUCAACCAAAUGCAUCUCCCCAACAUCUUACUCAUGACUGACUUCUACUUGGAGACAUCUUUCGCACUCUUUCUCAAAGAGAACUGGGGAGAAAUUUAAUAAUUUAAUAAGGCCUGGGGCAAUGGCCAUUUCAGAUAAAUUUGUAACAUUUAUUUCUAUAUUUAUGUAUGUUUUGGACUAGUUUUUUUUUUUGUUAAUAUUGGAAACUUUGAGCAAAGAAAGUCUGAAAGUUAUUAAGCGUAAAAUAUGUUAGUCAGCUGAUUGGGAUGAAAAUCCAGACCACUUCAGUAGCAUCUUGGAAUCAUUCAGAUUUAAUUAUGGACAUUAACAUCAAUGUUUUUUGUUUGUUUGUUUGUUUGAUAUAUGAAUUUUUUUCUUAAUUUUCUUUUCUUUUUUUUUUUGUGCUUAUCUGUUCCUCACUGUACCCUCUCACCACAACAUAAUAGUGUACAUAUGUGUGUGCACACCCUGAUCUAUAGUUGUUGACAGCGUUUGGGAUAUCAGCUCCUGGACCUUGUAUGUAGCAAAUAAGUGUACGCAGUUUACAGUCUAGUGAGGUCUUGUAUAACUCACUCUAAGUGCUUUUGUGGCUGUGGUGCCCAGAAGAGAAGUGCAGUCUGGAGAAAUCAUUUCUGUCUUCCUGCUACAAAACACUUUUGAGGUUCAGCAGUAAUCUUCUCAACAUGGCUGCUUAAAAAUAUUGACAGCCUAACACGUCAAAGCUUUAUCUUCACUGUGCUCACCAGGAGGUCCACUGAAAACAGGGAAAGGAAACCCCUUUUACCUUUAGUAGGUAUUGGGAAAACGUCCUUAUUCAAUGCAGAGAGAAAUGGUGAUUUGCCUGCCGAGAAAGGUAGCUGAUGGUAAAACCAAUAAUAAACUAGCUGCUAAAUGACUGUUUUGAGAAGUGUCCCUUCCCCUUUUUCAAAAACACAUUGCAGCUGUGCAGUAAUGUUCCUAAGUGGUACAGCUUGUAAUGGCUUUGCUGAAACAUUGAAACAGUCUGAACCCUUUCUAUAAAUCACUGGUCUUUUUGAGUUGGAUGUGAAGAUUUACCACAGUACUACUUUGAGCAGUGGUAUUUGUUGACUUUGUCACAGGAUCUGAAUUCCCGGUUUGGCAUCCCACUGAUAAGGUCUCAAUCAUUAAGUUCAUUAUACAGCAACCUUCUGCAUUCCUGUCUGUGUUUUGCUCUUCUGUGUUUUGCUCUUCCUUCCUGACUUCCAGUCCUUACUCAAUUGAGUAAUUCGUCCACAGCCUGCAGCAGUUUCUUCUUCUUCUUUUUUUUUAUUUAAUAUCUAUCAUUCAAAUCAAUGUCAUCCCAGUCAGUGGCAAAAUGUAUAAUUCUUGGAAUUGGAAUAAUUCUUGCAUGUAUGGAAAGCUGUGUAAUUUUUAUUUUAUUUUAUUUUUUGCUAGCAAUUCAUAGAUAAACACUCAGAUCAAAAUUGAAGUGACUUAAAGAGAAACAACCCUCUUCAUAAGCAUUAUUUUAGAGGAACAUUCUCAGUUAAAAAUACCCUCAAAAGAAGAUAAAAACAUAUUAUUUAAAGUUCUGAGAUGAAACUUGUAUCUCAUUAGAGCUUUUUUUUUCCGUUCCAGUGCAGACAAAUUAAAACAUUUCAUUUUUGCUAAGCCUGUAUUUUUGUCCUUGCCACCAAAAAACAAAAAUAAAAAAAAAUAAAAAUAAUUUUUCACCUAGUUCUCCCUGUGGAGCUUCUAGGGGUAGGAGGUAAAUGGCCUGCAGUGUCUGCUACGCUGUCAGGAGCAAUGCUUUUUUAGGCCAGAGAGAAGUCUUGGUCCUCUGCACAACAAGAGCAUGACAGAAUCACUGAGCUAUCAAAUCAGUUAUUCUGCCAACAUCUUUCUGCUUCACUGAAGAGUAAAUUAAUCCUACGUAGGAGCACUCCAGCAGGAGAAUAAGAGAGAGCACACACACUGCCAUAGUUGAGUAGUAAGGUGCUUGUCAAAUGUGUAAAUAAUAGGUAAAUAAUUAAUUUUCUUUGGGGAACCUUCAAGGAUCUACUUCUCUGAGUGCUUAUGCACACAUGGCAGAACAAGUGCAGCAAGGGAUUGAGCAAGAGAACUUCCCCACGCGAAGAAAACAUGCCCUAAGUCAGACCUCUCAGCAGCUCCACCUCGGCUCUUUCCAACUUGGUGGAGACCUGCAGUGGCUGCAGCUGGCCCCAGUUUCUGGAGAUGGCAGCUGGGGCUCUUGACCAGAAGGUGCUUGGGAGGCAGCUGCUCCAGCAGAAGGCACAAAGACACACCUUGGACCACGAUCAGCGCUUGGAAAUGAAAGCACGUGGGCUACAUUGAGUGCGUCUUCCAUACUGACUAGGUGACGCUACCUUUGUUACUGUGCACCAAAAUCUUUAUUUAGAAAAGGAACAGCUCCAAUGUGGAAACAAAAAAGGUCCAACAAAUGGCACAACAGAUAACUUAGUGCUGACCUGACAUCUGUUGCCUCCAGCUCACUUCGGUCUGCUGGACUUGAGGCCACUCAUGGCAGGAAGAGCAGCUGAGUGUCCCUGUUGCUGUGUGCCUCCUGUUCCAAAUUAGUAUUUCUGCAGCAAUAUGUAAAAGCAUUGAGGUCUAUCGAUUACAAAACAGUUUCCUGUGCAAGCUCCUAUUAAAGAACCAUUACAGAAAGCUUAGCCUUGACUUUGAGCUGAAGCCCCCAAGUGGAGCUUUUUGGGAAGAAACGACUCUUUCUUUCCAUGGGGAACUCUCCCUCUUUGCCACCUCAGAGCACAUUUUCCCAGCAUUCUCUACAGUUAGUCGUGGGGAAAGCAUGGAUCAUUUCAUACCCAAAGGUGAAAAGGCAGAAGUGCACCCCUUUCAGACUCAGCAGUCACAGUACUUUAACAAGCUAGCUAAUGGAGUGCCAAACCAUUGCAGUGAACUGCGAACCCAAAUAUCUUAUCCUCUGUGAUUUCUUACUUGAUCCUUUUGUCUGUUCUUACACCUCUCCUUGUUCCCAUAUAUUUGUGUGAUAUUGUGAUUAACCUCCAUUUUUCCCACUGGCUUCAUAUAUUCAUAUUUCUAUCCACUUUCACAUUGAUUUUUUUUUGUUCCUGACACCAAUAACUGUUUUACCUUCUUUCAAUUUGCCUUUACUUACUCCUUUUUUCUUAAAAUAAGCUUUUCUCUCUCUGUUCCCUGUCCUCUUCCUUUGUUAUGUGUCUGUGAUUCUCCAUUCCUAUCACAAAACUCAUUUACUGUUCCUUCUCAUUUCUCACUACACAGGCGAUGUAACUCCAUCAGCCACAGCUCCACUGCACUGAUUUCCCCUUUCUAUCUGCUGUCUAGCAUCUUUCCCUUCCUAUCUCCCACGCGGCACUUUUCCUUUCUAUUUUGUUUCUAGUUCAGAAUCUCUCCUCUGACUUUCCCAUUGUACUCCUACCCGCCGCCCUUUCCCUGCUGAUCAUGUUAACAGAAAUGUUGAGCUUUGUUGUCUUAUUGCACAGAUCUCAGCUUCUUUCACCUCCUCCUUACUUGUUACAUCAAGCCCUCCACCACUCUCCUGGCCCAACCAGGGCUGAGUGUUAGGUGUUAUCCAUGCAAGCCUCUCUAGAGCAGCAUAAGGCAGAGGUACUUUCAGUGUGCUGCUAAGGAGACCGUUGCUUGCUAACCAGUGAGUUCUGCCAAUCUGGGUCACAUUUUAUAUCAACAAGAUAUGUAUACGUUAUUGAUCAAAUUACAGUUCUUGAGCUUUAUUGCCAUAUGCACCUGUAACUGCAUCAAUGUUCACAGUCACUCACCCUGGGGCAGUAAAGCUUUGCCACAGAAAUACUUGAGAAGGACCACAGGCUGCCAUUUAAGACCAUCUGGUCCUAAGCUGUAUUUCUCCAAACCCGUGGUUACUCAGGUAUCAAGGCCAUUUUCCAUCUAGACCUCUGCUGUAAGUGGCCACUCAAUUUGUCCAAGAGCUAAAUACACAGUAUUCCUAUCAGAGCUCAUAAUGAGCGUACACGAAUGACCUUUCAAAAGCUCUCUAACUCCUUCAAAACACAAGCAGAGAGAAAAUCUGUAUUGGUGAGAUCAGAAAUAAAAUGAAAACCUCACUUUGCCUGAAUAAAAAAGCCAUAUACAGGAAAGCCCUUGAUGAAUAGCAUACUUUUAACAAAAAUACAAUUUCCUUUUCCACAAUAAAUGCUGUUUCAGAUUCUGAAAUUAAGUGCUUGUUCCACUGAGCUGUAACUUUUUGUUAAGCUGAAGAGACGUUAUAGGAACAGCUAUUCCGUUUCUUACAGAUUUCAGCUAUUUACAGUUCUCUUUUAAUAUAUAUAUUUUUUUUUCUGGAGAAGAGAAACACGUUCUGAGAUUUUCUUUAAGCCUUUUUUGGUUCAUUAUGGAAGUCUGACUUUCUGCAUCCAUUAGAGCAACCAUAGAUGAACUACUUUUGCGGCCUUAGGGAAACCUGAACCUGGAGCCAGCUUUUAGAAUUCACUGACAGGGCCAAGUCCUUGGCCGCCAUGGCAGAGGCUCUGGUCCGCUCAGAAAGUUUGGAGAAUUUAUGAAGGACUUAAGUGGCAGCUACAAAUUAUGGUUCUGUUUCAGCUCAAGAGUGAACUGCAUUUAAGGGAUCAUUGUUGUAACAAGAAGAAAACUUCCCAGCUCAAGUGUUUCCAAGCUAUUAAUCAUUUCCCUAGUAUCUGUCCCCCUGGAAAUUCUCCAAGUCCUUAUGAUACUGAUCUUGUAAACAAUUAUUUUCUUUCCUGAACUCCUGUAAUAAAAUUCAU